UACGUAGGGUGCAAGCGUUGUCCGGAAUUAUUGGGCGUAAAGAGCUCGUAGGCGGCUUGUCGCGUCGUCCGUGAAAACCUGCAGCUCAACUGCAGGCUUGCGGGCGAUACGGGCAGGCUAGAGUUCGGUAGGGGAGAAUGGAAUUCCCGGUGUAGCGGUGAAAUGCGCAGAUAUCGGGAGGAACACCGGUGGCGAAGGCGGUUCUCUGGGCCUUACCUGACGCUGAGGAGCGAAAGCGUGGGGAGCGAACAGG
rnacentral:rRNA from 1 species